rnacentral:rRNA from 1 species
GACGAACGCUGGCGGCGUGCUUAACACAUGCAAGUCGAACGGAAAGGCCCUGCUUGCAGGGUACUCGAGUGGCGAACGGGUGAGUAACACGUGGGUGAUCUGCCCUGCACUUCGGGAUAAGCCUGGGAAACUGGGUCUAAUACCGGAUAGGAGCCAUUUUUAGUGUGAUGGUUGGAAAGUUUUUUCGGUGUAGGAUGAGCUCGCGGCCUAUCAGCUUGUUGGUGGGGUAAUGGCCUACCAAGGCGGCGACGGGUAGCCGGCCUGAGAGGGUGGACGGCCACAUUGGGACUGAGAUACGGCCCAGACUCCUACGGGAGGCAGCAGUGGGGAAUAUUGCACAAUGGGCGCAAGCCUGAUGCAGCGACGCCGCGUGGGGGAUGACGGCCUUCGGGUUGUAAACUCCUUUCGCUAGGGACGAAGCUUUUUGUGACGGUACCUAGAUAAGUAGCACCGGCUAACUACGUG